rnacentral:rRNA from 1 species
UAUUGGCUCUGAAUAUMUAUGGCYAGAUAAAGURCAAGUCGUAACAAGGUUUCAGUUGGAGAACCAGCUGAAGGAUCAUUU